AAACACCGGAUUCCAUUCGAUCACCGAAGUUAAGCAGCGUCGAGCCCAGUCAUUACUUAGAUGAGGAAUCGCUUAGAAACAACGGGUACU